AACGUAGGUGGCGAGCGUUAUCCGGAUUUACUGGGCGUAAAGCGUGUGCAGGCGGUUGGCCGUGUCCGAUGUGAAAGCCCCGGGCUUAACCUGGGAAUGGCAUUGGAAACUGGCUGGCUGGAGUGUGGCAGAGGGGGGUGGAAUUCCACGUGUAGCAGUGAAAUGCGUAGAGAUGUGGAGGAACACCGAUGGCGAAGGCAGCCCCCUGGGCCAACACUGACGCUCAGGCACGAAAGCGUGGGGAGCAAACAGG
rnacentral:rRNA from 1 species